GAUGAACGCUGGCGGCGUGCCUAAUACAUGCAAGUCGAGCGAACGGACGAGAAGCUUGCUUCUCUGAUGUUAGCGGCGGACGGGUGAGUAACACGUGGAUAACCUACCUAUAAGUCUGGGAUAACUUCGGGAAACCGGAGCUAAUACCGGAUAAUAUUUUGAACCGCAUGGUUCAAAAGUGAAAGACGGUCUUGCUGUCACUUAUAGAUGGAUCCGCGCUGCAUUAGCUAGUUGGUAAGGUAACGGCUUACCAAGGCAACGAUGCAUAGCCGACCUGAGAGGGUGAUAGGCCACACUGGAACUGAGACACGGUCCAGACUCCUACGGGAGGCAGCAGUAGGGAAUCUUCCGCAAUGGGCGAAAGCCUGACGGAGCAACGCCGCGUGAGUGAUGAAGGUCUUCGGAUCGUAAAACUCUGUUAUUAGGGAAGAACAUAUGUGUAAGUAACUGUGCACAUCUUGACGGUACCUAAUCAGAAAGCCACGGCUAACUACGUG
rnacentral:rRNA from 1 species